rnacentral:rRNA from 1 species
UACGGAGGGGGCUAGCGUUGUUCGGAUUCACUGGGCGUAAAGGGUGCGCAGGCGGUUGGGUGUGUCAGAUGUGACAUCCCGAGGCUCAACCUCGGAACUGCGUCUGAAACUACUCGACUAGAGUAUUGGAGAGGGUAGCGGAAUUCACGGUGUAGCAGUGAAAUGCGUAGAUAUCGUGAGGAACACCAGAGGCGAAGGCGGUUACCUGGACAAUUACUGACGCUCAGGCACGAAAGCGUGGGGAGCAAAAGGG